rnacentral:rRNA from 1 species
UACGAAGGGGGCUAGCGUUGCUCGGAAUGACUGGGCGUAAAGGGCGCGUAGGCGGCGUAGAACGUCGGAUGUGAAAUUCCUGGGCUUAACCUGGGGGCUGCAUUCGAUACGGCGGUGCUGGAGUGGGGAAGAGGGUCGUGGAAUUCCCAGUGUAGAGGUGAAAUUCGUAGAUAUUGGGAAGAACACCGGUGGCGAAGGCGGCGACCUGGUCCUUGACUGACGCUGAGGCGCGAAAGCGUGGGGAGCAAACAGG